rnacentral:snRNA from 1 species
CAUGGGUUACAAGCUAUUG